rnacentral:tRNA from 1 species
GCGUCAGUCGCUUAACGGAAAAGCAAAUGACCUUUAAUCAUUGAGAUGGAGGUUCGAAUCCUCUCUGACGCACCA